AAUGUAUUUAACUGGCGGAGGACAGCACACAUCUACAGACGACAAACCACUGGAUCAUGAUCUUGUUAACUUCGAUGUUAAAUGCGAAGCAAACAAAAGUAAAUACUAUGAGAACUUUCCAGAUGUACUGAGAAAAUGAAGCGGAACAGGAGGAAUCCGACUAACCUCUGUAAUGACAACAUCGGCGUUUGAUUGGUCUGACACCAGCCCUUCUUCAUAUGAGUCAAAGUAUUCAUCCCUUAUCUCCAGUCUGGUACUGUCUCCUGUCAUGGUAGCAUACUCAAGUGCCUGAAAUGGAAUAUUGAAAAUAUUCAACUACUUGUUUUGAAAUUAUCAACAUCGGAUAUUGAGGCACUUGAAGAAUAAAGACGCAAGCGGCUUUAAAGAUACAGACUUAAGAAAAUAUUAUUUUUGUUUAUCAUGAACAGAGCAUUUGAAUGUGCACACAGACCUUGACUCCGCAGAAAGAAAUACUCAAACUGUCCGACGAGCGACCCGAACUCUCCGACAAUAGCCGGAACUGUCCAUCGAGGAACACGAACCGUCCGACAAGAAGCGGAUUCCUGGAUCACACACGAAGAAAAUGUUAGUUGAUGGAACUCGAGAGAAUGCAGGACUGUCUUGCUGUUACCCUGACGAUGCCGGCCACCAGAGAUGUGGUGUUACCCAAACGGUGGCAGUUGCCAGAAGCGUUGUUGUACACAACUGAUGCCUGUCGCCAGAUGUGCGCUGGUACUCGGUCGGUGCCGGUCAUCAGAGGUGUGCUGGGACUCUGUCAUACCGGCACUUUAUUAACAUGACGAUCACCUUUUUUCAAAGAUAGUCAUCCAGUUUGCAUGCAAAAGUCCUUCUUUCUAGUAGACGACACCAAUCACUUCUAGCAGAAGAAAUCAGCUGCUUCUAGCAGACGACACCAUUUGCUUCCAGCAAACGACAACAGUUACUUCUGGCAGACGACACCAUUUGCUUCUAGCAGACGACAACGGUUGCUUCUGGCAGACGGUGCAAAAGUGCUUAUAGCAUUCGACACCAGUUGAUUCUACCAGACGACUCAAGGGGAGGAGCGUUACGGCGAUGGACAAGAUACAAUGGUUUUCGAGGAAUUCAAGCCUUGACUGAUCUGGCGUCUAUAUUUGUCCCGUCGUGUUGUUUGUAGUAGACAGCUUUUUCAUCCUUGAAGUCCAGGCUGACAGACAAAGUCUUCGUUAUGGUUAUGAAAAAAGGCAAGAAGGACAUUGUUUGGCUUUAUUGAAAGACAGACAGAUGGCAGAAGACAAAUAUCGUCGUGCAGUUUUGUGUUUGUUGUUUCCAACAGCUGACAGACUGAUGUAACCAAGGAUGAUUUCAAACACAAAUGGGAAAUAUCUGCAGAAUGAAGAAUUAAGUACUGUAAAUCCACGACAGCCCGGAACCAGCACAGACAUGGCACUACAACGGCACUUGCAUAAGCACACAAACAUGGCAACGCUGGCACAAGCAUGAUGGAUAGCUCACAAAUAUAUAAUUGAGAAUGUUUAGUAACAUAAAAAUGUAUUUUGUUAAAUUCUAGGAUAAAUAACUGGAGUAAAACUAAUGAUUUUUUUCAGAACACCGAUACAUACUUUUGUUUAGACACAGCAAGUAUUUCUAGAUCGGUUAUUUUUGCAGGAUAAAUAAUAGGUGAAUCUCAUUACUCGGUUUAAAUCAAUUCAAAUAUGACAUACAAAUAAUGCCCCUUUCCUAUAGCUCAACACAAGACAAAGAGGACAUUUGUUUCAGUGCAAGAUCGAAAUAUAAGAUCGUUCUGUAUGCAGAUAAAAUCGCCUGAAAAUAAUUCGAUAUACAUAUAAAUUAAAUUUCAUGCAUUCUAAUACUUUUUUUUCUAAAAUGUUACAUACUUUUGGACGCAACGUCGCCGCGCAACUUCGCAUGUUAUGAGCAACGUCACGCUUAAUGUCAUGGCGUCAAAAUGAAUAUGUUGAAAAAAGUUAGAUAUUUCUGUAACAUUUUAAUAAAGCAGAUGUAUUUUCUACUGCUAUGGGUCUCCUGUAAUUAAAGCGGUGUAUGUAUUGAAGCAUAUUUUCGGUUUAUGUAAUUCAUAUUUUUGAGAGUUAACUCUUAGCCUGCUGGCGGCAAGUGAUUCUGCCUUUGCGACCAGUGCAGACCAAGAUCAGCCUGCACAUCCGUGCAGUCUGAUCAUGGUCUGCACUGUUCGCUAUUCAGUCAGUAAAUUUUUAGUAAACACCCCUUCAAAUGAUAAAUGGUACUGCCUUAAUUGGAAGAUGGACCAGUCCAUUAUAGAAAUAUAGCAGGGUAAGGGUUAAGGUGUAGUUUCAUGCCAAUGAACGCCAUAUUUUGAUUUCUAGUUGUUGAAACAGUAAGAUUAUCAGGAAAUAAUGUAUUGUUAUAUUUUGAUAACCCUCUGAAAGUAUUAAAUAUAAUUCCAUACUCUACUAACUAAAACUGUACAUAUUAAAUCAAAUUGCAUUUGAUUAAACUUAUAUUCUACUGUCCUUUGUCAGAGUCGUCUAAAUCUAGCUUUUUAAAGUCAUUUUAGCCUCAUUUCUUGUACACUGCAUUUUACACUGAUUGGCAUAACUCUUAACUGACACCUAACUCUGAGCACUAACAUUAACGCUCGUGACUGAAAUGACUUUUCAAAGCAACUUUGUCUUUUAUAAGUGCAAUGUUUGGAAUUUAAGACUGGUAUAUGAUGAGGGGUAAAAAGAUGCGUUGAUUAAAUGUUAAGAAAAAUAUGUGCUUGUAGCCCUAAAUUUUAAUGGAUUACUGGAAUAUAAUUGUAAAUUAUGACCUAAUAAGGUCCUUGCUUCAAACACAGAGAAAUCGAGAAAUGCAAAUAUGAUGUCCAUUGGUAAGGAGCUGCACCUGAACACGGAAAGAUAUAAAUUAGAAAGAAGUGGAUAAUUUUAUUGAAAGACAGAGCUGUAUAAAUGCUUGCAAAAACGCUAAAAUACAAACCAAAAAGAAACAAAUGUAUCUCGUAAACUUAUAAACAUAGGCAUUGUGACGUCAUUAAGUUGCGCGGUUGAAUGAGAUAAAUUCAUUUAAACUCGACAAGAACAUUAGCUGUGAAUGAUCUUUUUAUACGCCCGUGAACACCCAUGGCGGGCGGGCGGACGGUCGGCGUCCAAAAUUAUGUCGGCUCUCUAAGUCAAACAGUUUUCAUCCGGUCUUCACCAAACUUAGUGACAAUGUUUGUGGGCAUAAGAUCUCGGCCAAGUUCGAUAACCAGCAAAAUCCCCCGGGUACUCCUGAGUUAUGGCC
rnacentral:lncRNA from 1 species